GACGAACGCUGGCGGCGUGCCUAAUACAUGCAAGUCGAACGCAGUGGGGACGGGUGAGUAACAAGUGGGUAACCUCCCAUCAGAGGGGAUAACACGUGGAAAAAGGUGCUAAAACCGAUACUGAUGGAUGGACCCGCGGUGCAUUAGAGAGGUGGUGAGGUAACGGCUCACCAAGGCCACGAUGCAUAGCCGAGCUGAGAGGGUGAUCUGCCACACGGGGACUGAGACACGGCCCAGACUCCUACGGGAGGCAGCAGUAGGGAAUAUUCGGCAAUGGACGCAAGUCUGACGGAGCAACGCCGCGUGUGUGAAGAAGGUUUUCGGAUCGUAAAACUCUGUUGUUAGAGAGGCGGUAUCUAACCAGAAAGCCCCGGCUAACUCCGUGCCAGCAGCCGCGGUAAUAC
rnacentral:rRNA from 1 species